rnacentral:rRNA from 1 species
UGGGGAAUAUUGCACAAUGGGCGCAAGCCUGAUGCAGCGACGCCGCGUGAGGGAUGACGGCCUUCGGGUUGUAAACCUCUGUUAGCAGGGAAGAAGAGAGAUUGACGGUACCUGCAGAGAAAGCGCCGGCUAACUACGUGCCAGCAGCCGCGGUAAUACGUAGGGCGCGAGCGUUGUCCGGAAUUAUUGGGCGUAAAGAGCUUGUAGGCGGUUUGUCGCGUCUGCUGUGAAAGGCCGGAGCUUAACUCCGUGUAUUGCAGUGGGUACGGGCAGACUAGAGUGCAGUAGGGGAGACUGGAAUUCCUGGUGUAGCGGUGGAAUGCGCAGAUAUCAGGAGGAACACCGAUGGCGAAGGCAGGUCUCUGGGCUGUAACUGACGCUGAGAAGCGAAAGCAUGGGGAGCGAACAGGAUUAGAUACCCUGGUAGUCCAUGCCGUAAACGUUGGGCACUAGGUGUGGGGGACAUUCCACGUUUUCCGCGCCGUAGCUAACGCAUUAAGUGCCCCGCCGGGGGAGUACGGCCGCAAGGCUA